rnacentral:rRNA from 1 species
AAUUAGUGGCACGUGAAGCACACGCAGGCGGUUUGUUAAGUUGGAUGUGAAAUCCCCGGGCUUAACCUGGGAACUGCAUCCAAGACUGGCAAGCUAGAGUCUCGUAGAGGGAGGUAGAAUUCCAGGUGUAGCGGUGAAAUGCGUAGAGAUCUGGAGGAAUACCGGUGGCGAAGGCGGCCUCCUGGACGAAGACUGACGCUCAGGUGCGAAAGCGUGGGGAGCAAACAGGAUUAGAUACCCUGGUAGUCCACGCUGUAAACGAUGUCGAUUUGGAGGUUGUGCCCUUGAGGCGUGGCUUCCGAAGCUAACGCGUUAAAUCGACCGCCUGGGGAGUACGGCCGCAAGGUUAAAACUCAAAUGAAUUGACGGGGGCCCGCACAAGCGGUGGAGCAUGUGGUUUAAUUCGAUGCAACGCGAAGAACCUUACCUACUCUUGACAUCCAGCGAAUCCUGUAGAGAUACGGGAGUGCCUUCGGGAACGCUGAGACAGGUGCUGCAUGGCUGUCGUCAGCUCGUGUUGUGAAAUGUUGGGUUAAGUCCCGCGACGAGCGCAACCCUUAUCCUUUGUUGCCAGCGGUUCGGCCGGGAACUCAAAGGAGACUGCCAGUGAUAAACUGGAAGAA